GACGAACGCUGGCGGCGUGCUUAACACAUGCAAGUCGAACGGAAAGGCCCCUUCGGGGGUACUCGAGUGGCGAACGGGUGAGUAACACGUGAGUAACCUGCCCUUGACUUCGGGAUAACUUCAGGAAACUGGGGCUAAUACCGGAUAGGAAUCCUUGCUGCAUGGUGGGGGUUGGAAAGCUUCGGCGGUUUUGGAUGGACUCGCGGCUUAUCAGCUUGUUGGUGGGGUAGUGGCUUACCAAGGCUUUGACGGGUAGCCGGCCUGAGAGGGCGACCGGCCACAUUGGGACUGAGAUACGGCCCAGACUCCUACGGGAGGCAGCAGUGGGGAAUAUUGCACAAUGGGCGGAAGCCUGAUGCAGCAACGCCGCUUGCGGGAUGACGGCCUUCGGGUUGUAAACCGCUUUCAGCAGGGGCGAAGCUUGUGGUGACGGUACCUGCAGAAGAAGCACCGGCUAACUACGUG
rnacentral:rRNA from 1 species